rnacentral:rRNA from 1 species
GACGAACGCUGGCGGCGUGCCUAAUACAUGCAAGUUGAGCGCUGAAGGUUGGUACUUGUACCAACUGGAUGAGCAGCGAACGGGUGAGUAACGCGUGGGGAAUCUGCCUUUGAGCGGGGGACAACAUUUGGAAACGAAUGCUAAUACCGCAUAAAAACUUUAAACACAAGUUUUAAGUUUGAAAGAUGCAAUUGCAUCACUCAAAGAUGAUCCCGCGUUGUAUUAGCUAGUUGGUGAGGUAAAGGCUCACCAAGGCGAUGAUACAUAGCCGACCUGAGAGGGUGAUCGGCCACAUUGGGACUGAGACACGGCCCAAACGCCUACGGGAGGCAGCAGUAGGGAAUCUUCGGCAAUGGACGAAAGUCUGACCGAGCAACGCCGCGGGAGGGAAGAAGGGUGUCGGAUCGUAAAACUCGGUUGGUAGAGAAGAACGUUGGUGAGAGUGGAAAGCUCAUCAAGUGACGGUAACUACCCAGAAAGGGACGGCUAACUACGUG